UGUUUAGUUCUUGUGAAGGAUUAGAUUCGAAUUAGACAUAUGCCUUAUUCCUUGAUUAAGAAUUUUUAAAUAUUUCUAUUCACCUCUCUAGUCACCAUUCUGAUCUUUUACAAAUAAGAGGGGGCUUGGAAGCUCGAGGAUGAAGCUAAGCAUCAGUGGUCCAGCCUUGACGCAUAAUAAUUUUGAUGGAGGGUGUCUCAGCAUCUUUGCAUGCUUUGUGGCAAGCAAUUGCUUGAGUGGAAGUUUCGUCGAUGAUUGGGCUUAGAGCCUUGCAGACCCAAUAGCAAUCAUGCUACUACUUUUCUGUGGCCAAUAGGAGCGUUUUCACAUCUCUGCUUAUGACUGUAUGACUGGAUUUGUUUCAGAGAAAAAAUAGCAAUAAUGAGGGGAUUGCAUGAUAUAGUGCAGAU